UACGUAGGGUCCAAGCGUUAUCCGGAAUUACUGGGCGUAAAGGGCUCGUAGGCGGCCAACUAAGUCAGACGUGAAAUCCCUCGGCUUAACCGGGGAACUGCAUCUGAUACUGGAUGGCUUGAGUUCGGGAGAGGGAUGCGGAAUUCCAGGUGUAGCGGUGAAAUGCGUAGAUAUCUGGAGGAACACCGGUGGCGAAGGCGGCAUCCUGGACCGACACUGACGCUGAGGAGCGAAAGCCAGGGGAGCAAACGGG
rnacentral:rRNA from 1 species